rnacentral:lncRNA from 1 species
GUGAAUAACUCGGACAGUGGCACACCAAACUCCAUCACAUUCUGCCUUUUUACCCAAAAAGAGAGCAACGCUGUACCCUCACAACCUUUCAACACUUGAGUGGGUUACACCUCCUCCCUCCUUAAAUAGCAGUUAGUGUAAUUGAUGCCAAGUUAAUCACUGUGCUGCCAAGAGAAGU